AGGAAGUGGGGGGAGGAAGGAAGGAAGAGAGGGAGUGAGAGAAAGUGACAGGAAAGCACGAAGGAAGGGAGGAAGGAAGUCAGGAGGGCAGAAUGGAAAGAAGGAAGUAAAGGAAGAGAGUAAAGACUGUAGGGAGGGACAAAGGCAGGCAGGAAGGAAGUCAGGAGGGCAGAAUGGAAAGAAGGAAGUAAAGGAAGAGAGUAAAGACUGUAGGGAGGGAGGAAGGCAGGCAGGAAGGAAGGCAGGCAGAGAGGGAGGGAGGAAGAAAGGAAAGGAAG
rnacentral:lncRNA from 1 species